ACUUUUUUAGGAUGAAAACUUGAGAGAAAUUGAUUUAAAAGAGGGUAUAUGGGAACAUCUGAAAGGAAUUGCAAUGGAAGAAAAGUUCCUCCAUUAUGACAUUGUGAAGUUUAACUAUGGUAUGGAAAAUAAGAACCCCUUGGAAAAAGUACGAUUUUAUACAAAAGACCAAUUGGAUGUGCCAAUAAGAUUGGCUAAAGACCAAGUUUCCUACGUACUGCCGGACGUUUUUCAAGAGUGCAG